GUGGAUUAGAUACCCUGGUAGUCCACACUGUAAACGAUGAAUGCUAGGUGUAGGAGGUAUCGACCCCUUCUGUGCCGCAGUUAACACAAUAAGCAUUCCGCCUGGGGAGUACGGCCGCAAGGUUGAAACUCAAAGGAAUUGACGGGGGCCCGCACAAGCAGCGGAGCAUGUGGUUUAAUUCGACGCAACGCGAAGAACCUUACCAGGUCUUGACAUCCAGUAAAUCCUGUAGAGAUACAGAGUGAGCUUGCUCAUGCUGAGACAGGUGGUGCACGGCUGUCGUCAGCU
rnacentral:rRNA from 1 species